UGGAAGAACUUCUGGAUAUACUUUGCUGUAUAUACAGAAUAUACAAUGAACUUCCCUAAGAUUUUCCAAAUCAGAACUUCUCCAGAAAGCGCUAGUAGUCAAAGACAGUACUAUUUUUAAAAUAUUGCUUUAACCAACUAGCUUUUCCUUCAAUUCCAGAUGAAACCCUGCUUCUGUAAAGCUUCUUUGUCUAAAAGCAACAUCGCAAGCAGCAGUGAGAAGCUGCUGGAAAUGCUGCUCUUUUGACCAUUUCUUUUCAUUGCUGAAUCUCUAACUCCAGCUUCCUGAGUUUCUUGAAUGUUCAUAGUCUUGUCAUGAAAAUACAGCUUCAUCAUUCAAAUCUUCUCAGCAAACAUUGUGUGGCUUGCUUAUCAAGUUUUCUGUAUGACUUCAGUAUUCUCCACCAUUUCCUUGUGUGCUUUAAAGCUGCUCUCUCAAGAUUUUAUGGGAAAGGCCCACAUGCUCAGUCUGUUCACCUCCCUAGUACGGUCUCCUGUCAGGUAAUUUCCUGUAUCAAUCAUCUGCUGUUGCUCCGUGUUUCCUUUUGAGGGGAAGAAAUUCAGCAUCCCCCACUAGAAUUUGUUGCUGAUGAUAUUUAUAAUAAUUCAGAUGAAUAGUUUCCUCUUUGUAACUCACUUCUCUUUUGCCCAUUCUCUGGGAGCCUAUGUUUACAUCAGUUCUCCUCAAAGAAUUCAUAAUGGCUGUGGUUGAUUUUCAUUCUUCUCAUUCCUAAUAAGUUGAUGAGGACAGGCCUUUAUAUAGUCAUGCUCUUGUUCUCUUAUAUAUUUGUACUGAGUAGCUUAGUCUGCAACAUGACUUAGUAAAUAGUUUACAUCAUCUUUCUCCUAUUUCAGUAGAUUCUUGUUCCUUCCUCAUAAGCCCCCUUCUCCUGAAGUCUGGCACUUCCCUCCUGGAGGAUUCUAGUUGCUCCCUGAGUUGCUUAGCAGAUCUGCAGAUGACCCACAGCACCUCCUAGCUUCAGAUUCUUUGUUUUCACUUUUGUUUGUUUGUUUGUUGUUUUUCGAGACAGGGUUUUUCUGUAUAGCCCUGGCUGUCCUGGAACUCACUUUGUAGACCAAGCUGGCCUUGAACUCAGAAAUCCACCUGACUUUGCCUCCUGAGUGCUGGGAUUAAAGGCGUGUGCCACCACGCCUGGCUUCACAUUUUUCCAUGCUACAAGAUUUCUCCUAUGAGGGACAAGUAGCUCCAGAGAGUCUAAAACAGAAACUAUACUUUAUUCUUUCUUUGUUCUUUUACUCUUGGAUUCUCCAUGUAAUUAAUGGAAACUAAAAGUAAUCAACUCUUGAUCAAGAUAUGGAUGGGUCAAUAUUUGCUUCUGUGUAUACUAAGUGAUAAAGGCAUUUGCCAUUGACAAUAAGCUUGCUUGAGACAUCUUUAUUUCCAACGUAUACUAAGAGAUAUUUUUGCUUUCUGCCAUCAGAUCUGGAACUAUCCCAUUCAUCCAGUCUCCAUCAUUGGGGUAUCUGAUGAGCCCAUUAUAGCAAUGAAACUCUUAGAACAGCUGCUGUGAUACAGACAUCUCCAUCAAGGCCCCAGUGCUUCAGAGUCAGUACUACCUUCUGCAGUUCUAUAAGCAGCACAGGAAUUAAAGGAAACAGUGUACACUGGAACUGCCUGCUCCUGUAGUACUGUGGACUUCUAUUCUGCCUGAUGAGGCCAGCUGUGCUCCAUAGAUGUGUUAAGACCUAUAUAGAACUUCAGACAUUGAACUGAUGCAUACAUGCAAUAUUAGUUGCUACAUGAGGAAAAGGGAUCAAGUAAUGGAACAUAACCUGGUAGAAAAUUCUGUCUUCUAAAAGUAUAGAAAUUCGUGUGUCUUAAUGCUGAGUGCCAUGCAAAGAGAGGUCAUUUUCUUGGUAGAGAGGCUACUGCACCAGCUUAAUGUGGACAUGGCUUGAAAUGUAGCAUUCUAGUUUAAAUUUCUUUCUUGAUGAGCUAUCAUACAUUACCUACUCAAAGUAGGUAAAGUAUUGAGAGAAAUCUUGGAAAGAGUUUCUUCCCAUGUCUUACAGUGCUAGCAAUUUUGGCAACCCAGUUUCUAAAAGAUGCUUUUAUAACAUGGUGUGGUUUUCCUUGUUGCAUACAGAAAAGAAUAGUGCCCCCACAAGCACUAGGACAUCACUAGUGACAUUUUCUAUUUAACCCUCUUAGCAACCUAGUCUUAGCAUAAUCUUGUUGUGUUUCUCUUAAAGGGUCUUCUAAUCCUCAUUACAUUGACAUAGUAAAAUAUGAAAGUAUUGGUAUUUGCCAAGACAAAAAGAAAACUAGGAUUUUGAUUAUUUGAGUCUUUGUUCAGUGAAUGAAAGUGAAUUAUUUUGAUACAUGGUCCUGAUCCUUGCUUACAAAAUGUGGAGACUCACUCUGACUUCCCAGGAGUCCUGCAAAGGUGAAGCUACUUGUAGAAGAGGUUCUACACUGAAGUGUUGUCCCUAUAUUGCAUGAAGAAAAGUGAGAUGCCACAAAGCCCAGAAAGUGCCUACUUUGAAGCCAGUUGUCUGGAAGCAGACUGGAAUUGCUGAGUAAUGGUCAGGUUUAUCUGAGAAAGUCACCCAAGUCAUCCUUCACACCUGUUCAUUCUGAGUUGACGAAGAUGACAGCUUAUGGAAUGUAGAAGGCCUGAGAGCCUUUUGGAUAAAGUUUAUAAAGAAUCCUGUUUGAAAGGAAGCUUAGUUGAAUGAAUGAACUACUAAGUGAUUGUUUAUUUUGUAAUUUUUAGUGACC
rnacentral:lncRNA from 1 species